ACGAAGGGUGCAAGCGUUACUCGGAAUUACUGGGCGUAAAGCGUGCGUAGGUGGUUCGUUAAGUCUGAUGUGAAAUCCCUCGGCUUAACCGGGGAAUGGCAUCCGAUACUGGAUGGCUUGAGUUUGGGAGAGGGACGCGGAAUUCCAGGUGUAGCGGUGAAAUGCGUAGAUAUCUGGAGGAACACCGGUGGCGAAGGCGGCGUCCUGGACCAAUACUGACACUGAGGAGCGAAAGCCAGGGGAGCAAACGGGA
rnacentral:rRNA from 1 species